AUUGAACGCUGGCGGCAUGCUUUACACAUGCAAGUCGAACGGUAACAGGCCGCAAGGUGCUGACGAGUGGCGAACGGGUGAGUAAUGCAUCGGAACGUGCCCGGUCGUGGGGGAUAACGCAGCGAAAGCUGUGCUAAUACCGCAUACGAUCUAUGGAUGAAAGCGGGGGACCGUAAGGCCUCGCGCGAUUGGAGCGGCCGAUGUCAGAUUAGGUAGUUGGUGGGGGAAAGGCCUACCAAGCCGACGAUCUGUAGCUGGGCUGAGAGGACGACCAGCCACGCUGGAACUGAGACACGGCCCAGACUCCUACGGGAAGCAGCAGUGGGGAAUUUUGGACAAUGGGCGCAAGCCUGAUCCAGCAAUGCCGCGUGCAGGAAGAAGGCCUUCGGGUUGUAAACUGCUUUUGUACGGAACGAAACGGUCUGGGUUAAUACCCUGGGCUAUGACGGUACCGUAAGAAUAAGCACCGGCUAACUACGUGCCAGCAGCCGCAGUAACAC
rnacentral:rRNA from 1 species